UGGCUCAAAUGGUAAAGAAUCUGCCUGCAAUGCAGGAGACCCAGGUUUGAUUCCUGG
rnacentral:tRNA from 1 species